AGAAACAUCAGGUCUGCCCACCCUGGCAGACCAAGGGAAUCCUGGGGGCAGCCCCAGCAUAGGGUGAUUUCCCCAUUCCCACUCAGCAGCGCGGUUGGUGCAGCAGUGGGACCCUCGGGAGGCAGGCAGCCAUGUGGAGCUGUUUUGCCUCCACUUUCUCCCAUUUCCCUUCGCUCAAGAAUGACCAGCUUCAAAGCAAAAGUUCACUGCUCUAAUUGAAUAUUCUCCAUAUUGAGAGGGGUAAAAAUAAACAUUCUUCUCAGUUUAUUCACGCAUAAACUAGAAUCAUCCAAGUGUGACAUCUGAAAAGAACGACAUGAUUAUAAUCUGAAAUGAGAACAAAGGUUCAUCUUGUGCAGUUUCUUAUUUUUUUUUCUUCACUGCAGACUUUGAAAAAGGAAGAGAAAGAAUCUUAAUACCAUUAAAGCUGAAGAAAGCCAGGGCCCUGUGCCUCAGCGUUAACCUUUUCAGUAUUCUGCUGGCUAAUUGUCCGUCCGUUCCACCUUUUCCUCUCAGGUUAAUGGGGUGGUUAACAGGGGAGGACAGCAAUGGUUGGCCAAUCGCACUACAAAGCAAACUGAAAAGGUUGAAGCGAUGUGCUG
rnacentral:lncRNA from 1 species